rnacentral:lncRNA from 1 species
CAAUGGCCGACCUGUCGCUCUGGGUCGCCCCUCGAGGUGGGCUUGUGCGGGAAACACUCUUUGAUCUCUGGGCUCUCCGGGUGCACUUUGUUGUGCCAUAUAACUCAGAUCACUUGAAAAAAAAAAAAGAUUUGGCCCGUGUCUUUCAGUGGGACCAGGAGUUACUCAGAGUGCGCUGGAACCACGCCUUCCUGACAGUGCCUCUCUUCCUGUGUCGGCGCCCUCUUGACUGAAAUAAAUCCCGCAAACCCCACGAGCACGCGUUUCCUCUCUCUGGGCUGGCUCCUGACAACACAACCUAAAGGCAGAGCUGUGCCCACGUCAUGCAUCCUUCGUUACUCUGUGACAACCCAAGACUCCAGUGCUUUUCUCUGCCUCGCUCUCCCUUACCUGCAGCCCCUCCAAGGAGCCUGAAGAGGCAGCAGCAG